GCGGGGGCGGUAACGGGCGGGACGCGGCCGGCGCCUUCCCGGGGCGCGUCAUUCCGCCGUGCCGGCGGGUCCCGCGUGUCCCAGGGCGCCGUGACUGCGAGCCUCAAACGGCAGCUGCUUUCCUUUCCUGCACCUCCUCCUUUGUUUCAGCCGAAAGGGAGAUAGAUAGUGAGAAAACAUUGUAGCUCGAUGUCUGUCCCUCCUUCUUCCCAGCUAAUCCCUCAUCUGGAGGAUAGAGGAGGCGUGUCCUGCCAUGCUAAAUCCGUGUUUUCUGUGAUGAACAUGUUGGAACUUUUAUGCAGACAAAAAGGACUUACUGUUCAUGUUAGCCCCAGUGGGACUGCCUGCUACAUAACAUCAAUGAUGUUUUAUGUAGAAAUUCAGCUGGAGAAGGAUGGAGAUGUGAUGGAUGUGAAGUUGGCUCACUUUGAAGAAGCUCCUGUGGUAAAAUUAAUUUUCGCUGUCUCUCAUGACCCUUUAGUCUCCUACCUGGCUUCCAGCUAUCAUGUCAGAAAAGUUUU
rnacentral:lncRNA from 1 species